UACGGGGGGUGCAAGCGUUGUUCGGAAUUAUUGGGCGUAAAGCGCGUGUAGGCGGUUUGAUUAGUCUGAUGUGAAAGCCCUGGGCUCAACCCAGGAAGUGCAUUGGAUACUGUCAGAUUUGAAUACGGGAGAGGGUAGUGGAAUUCCUAGUGUAGGAGUGAAAUCCGUAGAUAUUAGGAGGAACACCGGUGGCGAAGGCGGCUACCUGGACCGAUAUUGACGCUGAGAUGCGAAAGCGUGGGUAGCAAACAGG
rnacentral:rRNA from 1 species